AGUUCCUUGGGCUUGUAAAUAGGGAGCUGCAUCGCUACAAGGAAAUCAUUGAAAUGGAAACUUGUUAUGUUCAUUGUGAGGAUAAUGUCAUCUUCAAUUUUUUUGUGCAUGACCAACUAGAGCAGAGAUUAACAUCCAAGAGGCAACAAUGAGUUGUUUCUAGUUCUAUUGGUAGCAGAGAAAUGUCUUAAAAAGUCAAUCAGUCCAAUGAUCUACACUCAUGGUUUCUAGUUUUUCAGGCUGUGCUGAUCCUCUUCCUCUGGGGUCUUUUCAUGUGGCUGGGAUGUUGGCAUUGAUUUGGGUGAUUGGGCUUGCUUGGAUCAGAUCUUGGCUGCAAGAAUUUUUAUAUAAGCUUCUUCUAGUCACGUUUAGCUUCUUGAAACUAGACCCCCUGGUGUUUUGAGUCCAAAAAUAGUUCUUGUCUGCAUCAAUUCAGUCAAAUGGAGAUUAAUCAUGUGCUUGAUUUAUUAGCUUCUUUUGGUAUUUAAGUUUCUCACCAACACACUAAUGGCGUAAUUCUACCAAACUUUGUUUGUUGUUUGAUUAUUAGAGACCUUGUAUCAUUUUAGUAAUUGUUGACUCACAAUUUAGCCUAAUUACUCCUUUCUCUGUCUAAAAAUUUUUGUUUUCUUUCAUUGAGGCAUUUUGUGGGAUGUUGUUAUCCAACAGGAUGUUCUUGGGAACUCAUCUAGAUUUUUUGUAGCCAUUGGGCAGUGAAUAUUCUGAAUCUGAAA